rnacentral:rRNA from 1 species
AAGCUGACGGCAAGAUUUUUAGCAAUAGAGAUCCUAGAGUAGCGUAAGGGUGCGUAACACGUAUGCAAUCUACCCGCAACAGGAGGAUAGCUCCCCGAAAGGGGAAUUAAGACUCCAUAAGAUCACGGGGUGGCAUCACCGAGUGAUUAAAAUACAAGUGGUUGCGGAUGAGCAUGCGCAUGAUUAGUUAGUUGGCGGGGUAACGGCCCACCAAGACGAUGAUCAUUAGGGGAACUGAGAGGUUGGUCCCCCACACUGGCACUGAGAUACGGGCCAGACUCCUACGGGAGGCAGCAGUAGGGAAUAUUGGACAAUGGGUGCAAGCCUGAUCCAGCCAUGCCGCGUGCAGGAAGAAAGCCUUCUGGGUUGUAAACUGCUUUUUCCGGGGGAUAAAAUAGUCUUGCGAGACGAAUUGAAAGUACCCGGAGAAUAAGCCACGGCUAACUACGUGCCAGCAGCCGCGGUAAUACGUAGGUGGCAAGCGUUGUCCGGAUUUAUUGGGUUUAAAGGGUGCGUAGGCGGUCCACUAAGUCAGCAGUGAAAUACGACAGCUUAACUGUCGAGGUGCUGAUGAUACUGGUGGACUUGAGUACUGAUGAGGUAGGCGGAAUGGACGGUGUAGCGGUGAAAUGCUUAGAGAUCGUCCAGAACACCGAUAGCGAAGGCAGCUUACUAAGGAGUAACUGACGCUGAGGCACGA